rnacentral:rRNA from 1 species
AUGAAUCUCUUGGCCUGGAACUGUCGAGGACUGGGGUUGGACUCGAUAGUGGGCGAACUGCGGGACCUGAUUAGGUCCUACAACCCAGCGGUGGUGUUUCUAAGUGAGACAAAAAAAUCAGCACGGGCAAUGGAGAAAUUAAUGUGGAGGCUUGGUUUCAGAAACGGGGCGGCGGUGGACUGUGUGGGAAGAAGUGGUGGGCUAGCUUUGUGA